AUCAAGGAAGCGUUUUGUCCAUGUGGGCACAAAGCGCUCCCUCAAGGAAGCGUUUUCUGUCCACGUGGACAAUGCGCUUCGUUGAGG
rfam:Gossypium raimondii Chr09_contig_1619, whole genome shotgun sequence.